rnacentral:rRNA from 1 species
CGUAGGUGGCAAGCGUUGUCCGGAUUUAUGGGUUUAAAGGGUGCGUAGGCGGCUUUGUAAGUCAGUGGUGAAAUACUCCAGCUCAACUGGAGAGGUGCCAUUGAUACUGCAGAGCUAGAGUACUGAUGAGGUAGGCGGAAUGACGGUGUAGCGGUGAAAUGCUUAGAUAUCGUCCAGAACACCGAUAGCGAAGGCAGCUUACUAAAGAGUAACUGACGCUGAGGCACGAAAGUGUGGGGAUCGAAACAGGAUUAGAUACCCUGGUAGUCCACACUGUAAACGUUGAAUCACUAGAUGUUGGCGAUACACUGCCAGCGUUCCAGCAAAAGCGAUAAGUGAUCCACCUGGGGAGUACGCCCGCAAGGGUG